AGUUCUGUAGCUUAGUUGGUUAAAGCGCCGGUCUAGCGUACACGGAGUCGUGAGUUCGAGUCUCACUAGAACGC
rfam:Aedes aegypti strain Liverpool supercont1.622 genomic scaffold, whole genome shotgun sequence.